GGGGAAUUAGCUCAGCUGGGAGAGCGUUGCACUGGCAGUGCAAAGGUCGUGGGUUCGAGUCCCAUAUUCUCCACCA
rnacentral:tRNA from 1 species